rnacentral:rRNA from 1 species
GAGUAGUUUGGGAAUGCUGCUCCAAAUGGGAGGUAUAUGUCUUCUAAAGCUAAAUACCGGCCAGAGACCGAUAGCGCACAAGUAAAGUGAUCGAAAGAUGAAAAGCACUUUGAAAAGAGGGUUAAAUAGUACGUGAAAUUGUUGAAAGGGAAGCGCCCGCGACCAGACCUGGGCGCGGCGGAUCAUCCGGCGCUCCCCGCCGGUGCGCUCCGCCGCCCCGCCCAGGCCAGCAUCAGCUCGUCCCCCGGGGGAUAAAGGCCCUGGGAACGUGGCUCCCCAGGGAGUGUUAUAGCCCACCGCGCAAUGCCCUGGGGCGGGCUGAGGUUCGCGCCGCCCAGGCGGCAAGGAUGCUGGCGUAAUGGUCAUCAGCGACCCGUCUUGAAACACGGACCAAGGAGUCGUCUUCAUAUGCGAGUGUUCAGGUGGCCAAAACCCCUACGCGGAAUGAAAGUGAACGCAGGUGAGAGCCUCUGGCGUAUCAUCGACCGAUCCUGAUGUUCUCGGAUGGAUUUGAGUAGGAGCAUACGGGGCCGGACCCGAAAGAAGGUGAACUAUGCCUGUGUAAGGUGAAGCCAGAGGAAACUCUGGUGGAGGCUCGCAGCGAUUCUGACGUGCAAAUCGAUCGUC